AUGGUGGCGGUGAUCGUCCUGGUGGCGUGUUGUGGUGCUCAGCUGGCUGUCGCCGGAGGUGACCAGGGCCAGCCGGCGGCGGGAGGGCCGGAGGCGAGUCUGCUGUGCAUCAGCGAGUGCGGGACGUGCCCCACGGUGUGCACGUCGCCGCCGCCAGCUCCUCCCUCGCCGUCAUCAUCAUCAUCUACACCGUCGCCUCCCUCGCCGUCAUCGUCAUCAUCAACACCGUCGCCUCCCUCGCCAUCGACGUCGAUCCUCCCGCUGCCCACGCCCCCGCCGCCGUAUCUGACUCUGCUGCUCCCGCCGCCCCCGUCGUCAUCGUCGACGGAGCUGCCCCCGUCCACGCCGUCGCCGACUCCACCGAAGAGCAGCGGCGGGUCGUCAUCGUCUUCGUCUUCCUCGGCUCCGUCCUCGCACUUCUCGUCGCCGCCGUCCCCGCCGUCGUCCUCGGCGAACCCGUACUACUACUUCUACCUCUCCGGGGGCAGCAGGAGCCGCGGCGCGUCGAGCGUCUACGCCGUCGUCAUCCUCGCGCUGCUCCUGCCCGCCGUCACCUUUUGGAGGUGA
rnacentral:rRNA from 1 species